AUUGAACGCUGGCGGCAGGCCUAACACAUGCAAGUCGAGCGGUAGCACAGAGAGCUUGCUCUCGGGUGACGAGCGGCGGACGGGUGAGUAAUGUCUGGGAAACUGCCUGAUGGAGGGGGAUAACUACUGGAAACGGUAGCUAACACCGCAUAACGUCGCAAGACCAAAGUGGGGGACCUUCGGGCCUCAUGCCAUCAGAUGUGCCCAGAUGGGAUUAGCUAGUAGGUGGGGUAAUGGCUCACCUAGGCGACGAUCCCUAGCUGGUCUGAGAGGAUGACCAGCCACACUGGAACUGAGACACGGUCCAGACUCCUACGGGAGGCAGCAGUGGGGAAUAUUGCACAAUGGGCGCAAGCCUGAUGCAGCCAUGCCGCGUGUGUGAAGAAGGCCUUCGGGUUGUAAAGCACUUUCAGCGGGGAGGAAGGCGAUAAGGUUAAUAACCUCAUCGAUUGACGUUACCCGCAGAAGAAGCACCGGCUAACUCCGUGCCAGCAGCCGCGGUAAUACGGAGGGUGCAAGCGUUAAUCGGAAUUACUGGGCGUAAAGCGCACGCAGGCGGUCUGUCAAGUCGGAUGUGAAAUCCCCGGGCUCAACCUGGGAACUGCAUUCGAAACUGGCAGGCUAGAGUCUUGUAGAGGGGGGUAGAAUUCCAGGUGUAGCGGUGAAAUGCGUAGAGAUCUGGAGGAAUACCGGUGGCGAAGGCGGCCCCCUGGACAAAGACUGACGCUCAGGUGCGAAAGCGUGGGGAGCAAACAGGAUUAGAUACCCUGGUAGUCCACGCCGUAAACGAUGUCGAUUUGGAGGUUGUGCCCUUGAGGCGUGGCUUCCGGAGCUAACGCGUUAAAUCGACCGCCUGGGGAGUACGGCCGCAAGGUUAAAACUCAAAUGAAUUGACGGGGGCCCGCACAAGCGGUGGAGCAUGUGGUUUAAUUCGAUGCAACGCGAAGAACCUUACCUGGUCUUGACAUCCACAGAACUUUCCAGAGAUGGAUUGGUGCCUUCGGGAACUGUGAGACAGGUGCUGCAUGGCUGUCGUCAGCUCGUGUUGUGAAAUGUUGGGUUAAGUCCCGCAACGAGCGCAACCCUUAUCCUUUGUUGCCAGCGGUCCGGCCGGGAACUCAAAGGAGACUGCCAGUGAUAAACUGGAGGAAGGUGGGGAUGACGUCAAGUCAUCAUGGCCCUUACGACCAGGGCUACACACGUGCUACAAUGGCAUAUACAAAGAGAAGCGACCUCGCGAGAGCAAGCGGACCUCAUAAAGUAUGUCGUAGUCCGGAUUGGAGUCUGCAACUCGACUCCAUGAAGUCGGAAUCGCUAGUAAUCGUAGAUCAGAAUGCUACGGUGAAUACGUUCCCGGGCCU
rnacentral:rRNA from 1 species